rnacentral:rRNA from 1 species
AUGAUUCGUGGGACGUCCUGCCGGUGGUGGCGAGUCGAAGGCGUGCUCCCGUUGUGGUUUCCACUUCGGUUCUUGCGCGCCCGAGGCGGACCCCGAUGAAAUCCUACCGCGGUGCUCUUCGCCGAGUGUCGAGGUGGGCCGGCACGUUUACUUUGAACAAAUUAGAGUGCUUAAAGCAGGCCUGUUGCGCCUGAAUACUGUGUGCAUGGAAUAAUGGAAUAGGACCUCGGUUCUAUUUUGUUGGUUUUCGGAACCCGAGGUAAUGAUUAAUAGGGACAGGCGGGGGCAUUCGUAUUGCGACGUUAGAGGUGAAAUUCUUGGAUCGUCGCAAGACGGACCGAAGCGAAAGCAUUUGCCAAGUAUGUUUUCAUUAAUCAAGAACGAAAGUUAGAGGUUCGAAGGCGAUCAGAUACCGCCCUAGUUCUAACCAUAAACGAUGCCAGCUAGCGAUCCGCCGAAGUUCCUCCGAUGACUCGGCGGGCAGCUCCCGGGAAACCAAAGCUUUUGGGUUCCGGGGGAAGUAUGGUUGCAAAGCUGAAACUUAAGGAAUUGACGGAAGG